rnacentral:rRNA from 1 species
UAAUACGUAGGUGGCAAGCGUUGUCCGGAAUUAUUGGGCGUAAAGCGCGCGCAGGCGGUCUUUUAAGUCUGAUGUGAAAGCCCACGGCUCAACCGUGGAGGGUCAUUGGAAACUGGAAGACUUGAGUGCAGAAGAGGAGAGUGGAAUUCCACGUGUAGCGGUGAAAUGCGUAGAGAUGUGGAGGAACACCAGUGGCGAAGGCGACUCUCUGGUCUGUAACUGACGCUGAGGCGCGAAAGCGUGGGGAGCAAACAGGAUUAGAUACCCUGGUAGUCCACGCCGUAAACGAUGAGUGCUAAGUGUUAGAGGGUUUCCGCCUUUUAGUGCUGCAGCUAACGCAUUAAGCACUCCGCCUGGGGAGUACGACCGCAAGGUUGAA